GUCUGAGUUUUCAGACUGACAGCAAAAGAACAGAGUUCUGGAAUUCUGAGGGAGCCGCUACUGUUGAAGAGAGACAGUUAAGCCUAGGGCUGUGGCUUUUUCCCUCUGGGUGGAUGUGAGGAGAAUUAGCUUUUCCUUGUGCCAUUUGAUAGCUUAUUCAUCACAUCUUACUGUUGUUUGGAUUAUCCUGUAUCUGUUGGCCUUUUGACAUCUACUGAGCUCCUGUACUGUGACAACUAACAGCUGAUUUGCCAAGGAGCCAUGGUUAGUCUGUAUCACAGUGAACAUUUGGAUGCUAAGCUUCUGAGUUCCCUGCCGUUUUCCAAGUGAAAAGAGAGUUGAAGAUUGUGGAGAGAUCGUGACUUACUAGAGGAUUCUCGCCCCUUAGUCCACUAGAGCUGAGAUGGCUAGCUUAUAGUGCUGGGGAAAUCGUAGUAAGAAGCAGUGAUUGUCAGGGAUUGUCAUUCCCAGCAGCCAUCAGUAGCCACCACAGGAGCAGCAAGGAGCAAAUAUGCAUCAAGAAAAACAUCAGUCCUGAAACCCUGUAAUGGUGGUUUUGGGUAGUCGAGGAAAGGACGAACUGGAUGGCUUCAGAAAAAUCUGUGAAGAUUUGUGUGAACUAACUCAGAGUAAAAUAAGCAUAACCAGGAGGCCACUGGACUCAGGAACAGCGAUAUUGAAGCAAGACCGUGCUAAAGGACUCAUGAUUAUCCAUCCCAUACAUAUUACUGAGCAACAACUAAAGACUUCCAUGAAAACCAACCAAGCCAACUGAGUUGUAAAGUGAUGCUUCUUCCAAAACAGGAAUGAGUAGCUUCCAUUCUAUCAAGGUCACUGGACCAAAUUUCCAGAAGCAGCUAGCCUUGAAUUCAAGGUAUCCCUAGAUGGGAAUUAAAAAGAGAAGCAAAUGGAAAGGCUAUCUUAUAAUUAAACAUGUUGGUCAAAGCAAACAACAGUUGGGUAAAACAGAACUUGACAUCCCUUACCCAUUUGUGAAGAUGAAUUGGGAAAUGAAAAUACAUCAGCCUGAACUUGUCCUUAAGCCAUGACAAGAGAGCAUGCAGAGCUCUCACUGAGCUGAUGACAGUCUAUUAAAGUACUUUGAAAGUUAGAAUAAUUGUUGUUUUUAAUCCAAAUGUAAUUAAUGGGCCCAAUUCCAGUUACAUAAGAACAACUCAAAUAAUCCUUUGAUGAAAAUGAAAUGCUUCCAAGAAUGCUAUGGGGGUGGGAGGGAAGACCUAAAAUUGGAUGCUAAUUCAUUGAGAAUUAAAGGAAAACUUUACUCAAUGCCCUCAGGCAGUACCCUUGGCAUUUUGUGUCUACUCUUCUUUUCUUCUAGGCUACUCUAACUUGACAUACAAUUUGUCCUACUCUUGGCUUGUCAUUAUAAAGGUUGUGUCUACACAGGCAAAUUAUCUGGAGAGUUGAAUCCAGAAAAAAAAAAAGGAAGUUUUAACUACAUCUAUAUGAUCAUGAUUUGCUUGGAUGGAAUGGAAAAUUGUAGUUUAGUUGGUCAGCUAAAGAGUUCAGACCUGUCACAGGUAAGGAGUCCCUUACUCCUGAAAGAUCAGUAAUUACUGAGGUGUUUGUGCAUGAGGGAGACUUGUUUAUACUUUGCUAACAAUAGCAGCUAGCAGCUAGAUUCACUUAUUAAGCACUGUGUGCAAUCCAAAAGACAGUAUAGUAUAGGAGUUGGCCUUGGAGUCAAGAAGAUCUAGAUUCAGUGGCUACCUUGACAUAUACAAAAACAGAGUGCUGCCAUUUAAAGUUUAUGCCUCUGAGCAAUUCUGUAAGGCUAUGCCUCACAGAAAAGUCUACAUCUGCAUCCGGGAAGGGAGUUUCUAUCCUGAGAGCUCAUUAUGCCAGGGAAAUCACAAACUAGGACCAAACAAAUAAACAUUUAUGUGUUAUGUCUAACUGGUAUUUU
ensembl:lncRNA